rnacentral:rRNA from 1 species
GACGAACGCUGGCGGCGUGCUUAACACAUGCAAGUCGAACGGAAAGGCCCUGCUUUUGUGGGGUGCUCGAGUGGCGAACGGGUGAGUAACACGUGAGUAACCUGCCCUUGACUUUGGGAUAACUUCAGGAAACUGGGGCUAAUACCGGAUAGGAGCUCCUGCUGCAUGGUGGGGGUUGGAAAGUUUCGGCGGUUGGGGAUGGACUCGCGGCUUAUCAGUUUGUUGGUGGGGUAGUGGCUUACAAAGGCUUUGACGGGUAGCCGGCCUGAGAGGGUGACCGGCAACAGUGGGGCUGUGCUACGGCCCAGCCUCCUGCGGGCGGCAGCAGUGGGGAAUAUUGCACAAUGGGCGGAAGCAUGAUGCAGCAACGCCGCGUGCGGGAUGACGGCCUUCGGGUUGUAACCCGCUUUCGCCUGUGACGAAGCGUGAGUGACGGUAAUGGGUAAAGAAGCACCGGCUAACUACGUG